rnacentral:lncRNA from 1 species
AUUCUGAAAAAUUAAGAAACUAGACCUAAUCUAAGAAGUGAUUAAAUCUAACUUCUAAUCUACUUAAAUCUAAAUAUGGAUUAGACCAAAAUCAGCAAGAAUUCCUAAUAUCCAAAAUCCAAAAUAAGAGAAGCAUUCCUAAUUAUAACUAGAUUAACCUACUCUAAUCAGCAUCAAGAUUAACCACAAAAAGGAAUAAAAUCUAAAUUAACUUCAGAUUAAUCAUGGAUUAAGAAAGAAUUAAAUAUGAACAUGGGCCUGGGGUGUUAAUGGAUCGAAGAGGGGGUUUGUAGAAAUUCAGAACAGCUUUCUUGGGCCAAAGGCCCAAGUCCUUAACGUGAGAACCCAAUUCGCCCUGAAUGUGAUUCAGCCAAGAGCUUCCUGAAGAAACUCGCGAAUUCGCACGAACCACCCAAUUCCGGUAAACCGCUGAAGCUUAGCGCUUCAUGCCGCGGCCGUGAGAAAUGGUUCCGGUGCAAGCGACCAUGAGCUCGAGAAUUCAAAGAAUGUACGACGACGGAUUGUUGGAUCGGUGAGGAGAUUCAAUGUCGAAUCGAGUUGCGGAAUCGAGAACCUACAGUCAAUACUCUUGCACGUGGUGUCGGAGAGAGACGAAUCGGGGACGAAUCGAUGAUUGAGAGCGAAGAACUUACCGUAGCGAGGUUCUCGGCGAUUACAGGUCCUAUUCUGAUCCUCUUCCCUUUCUUUUCUUCUUCCACUUCUCCGUUAUGAUCUUCUUCUUCUGUUUUCCGUUUUCUCCUUUCUCUGUUCUUCGCUUCUCAUUUGUUUCCUCUGUGAUUGAAGGUUGUGUAAUGGAGGUCGAAUGUGUCGAAGAUUGGUUGCCGGAUUUUGAUGGUUGAAGGUGAGGAAAUCAACAAGCUUCCGCUUCCUUCAAUCUUCUACUCCGAUUUCUACUAUCGUUUUUUCUGUUUGUGUUUGCAGCUAUAUGGUUAGAAGGGUCAUACAGAUGCAGAUGGAAGCAGUUGAGGGAGGUUCUAUCCGUUAGAGUUGUCUCAGUUUUUGUGGUAGGUUAGGUUCUGCAGCGAUGUCGAGUUGGAGAGUGAAGAAAGAUUGGUUGUAGGAUGGAAGAUGAUGGAGGAUUGAAGGGUUAGAAUGGAAGGUUCGAGGAAGCUUGAAGAUGGUUCUUGAAGGAGGUUGUGGGGUUUUCUGUUAGAAGUUGGUUAAAGGUUUGCUUAGGUUGGAGGAAUGUACAGAAGGUUGUGUAGGGGAUGUAUGGAGGUUCGUGUGAAUGGAAGGUUGCAGGUUUGGUUAGGGUGAAGAAGAAUUGGUUGAAUGGUGAUGGAGGUGGUGAAGAAUGGUGAGGAAAGUGAGAGAGGUUGAAGGUGGCAACCGACCUUUAACAAAAUCAUCAAGGUAUCAAUUUAUAGAUUCCCAACUCUUUUCUGUUCUGAAAAUCGGUUAGGAAUUGGUUAGAAAAAAUCAGUUAGGGUGGUUUAGAGUUUGUUAUGACAGUUAGAUUUACAAAGAUUCCCAACUCUUUUCUGUUCUGAAAAUCGGUUAGGAAUUGGUUAGAAAAAAUCAGUUAGGGUGGUUUAGAGUUUGUUAUGACAGUUAGAUUUACAGUUGGCAAUUUUUGGAAUUAUGUUGAGUUGUUUAGCAGUUGCACAACUGUUAUUCAGUUUCUGUGAGGUUCUGUUUUCUCUUAUGCAGGAAGUUUGCAGCAGUGGUUAUUGAAGAAGGUUUGAGGGUUACGAUUCUGUUAUCGGUUGGUGUUGGUUAGAAUGGUGGUAAGGUCAGUUGUCAUUGGCAGGAAUUGUGUUUGGUUUGCUAUCAUGAAAAUGUUAGCUGGAGAAUUAUGUUUUGAUCUGUUUUUAUGGUUUGUAAAUCAUGAACUGAAUGCGCUCUUCUCACCUCAGUUUCUUGCAAAUUUUCAGGAUCUCUUGGAUGGUUAUCCUUUGAUUCCAUUAUCGUGAUGCCCUCUUCAAAGCUACAAUGGAGGUGAAUUUCCUCGUACAUUGUCUUCAUUACCAGGUAGUAUGUUUGAUGAUUCGCAGCAAUCCGCAGGUUUCGAAUUUCAUUUCCCCAUUUUAUUGAAGAUCCUAGGGGUAACCUUGAGCAAAUGCAGGAUUUGAUGAAUGAAGUUGCCCCACAGUGAUUCUAUGUGGUGCGGUGUUACGGCGAACUGUUGCACAAUUAGAGUCAGUCGCUUCGAGCAGCAUUGUAUGGUCGACUCAGUAAAGGUCACAGUGGAAUAAGAUUGGAGCUAAGAUACAAUGCAUCAGUUUUAGAUUGAUUGAAACACAAUGCGAUUCAGGAUGCUUGGAUUACUGGUUUGAAUAUGUGGGCCAUAGUUGGUGAAGUGUGUCCUUUGGUCUUGGCCAUUUAUAGGCGUGGGUUUGGUUGGCUUUAGUUAGUUAGAGUUGUUUUCUAAUUUAAAUAAAAUGAACAUUAACAGUGGAAGGUAAAUUCAAGUGACUGCAAAUGCAAUUACACCAUUGUUGUGCUUAUUAAUGGAAAUUCUUUGAAAUGAUGUAUGGUUGUAAUUGAAUUAAAAUGGAGAAUGAAAUGUAUGUGAGAAUUGAUCCCUGUAAUGUGAAAACAUAUAUACUCUUAGUUUGAAAUGAAUUGAAAUUAGAAUGUAACGUGAUGAUUGAAUAUAAUGGAAAUGUUGAAUUUGGUUUUAACUGUAAUGAAGUAUUUCAUUUAGGAAUGGAUUGGAGAUGUAACUGGAAGUUG